UCCUCCUCGGUUGCCUCAUUGGGCAUGCGCCUUUACUUUUUCUUACUGAAAACAACCAAACUGCACAGAAUUCCAGUAGACUAAAACUGAUAUUUCUGGUUCCUUCGUAUUGAAAGAUUGUCAGGUUAUGGUUUUUCUAAACAGCCAAUCCCUGAUAUUGCACCGAGUUAUCAAUUGGAGAGCAGCUUUCACUGAUGUGAAUGGAUAAUCUCUCUGGCACCACUAUGAUGGGUGAGGGUAGAAGAGUCCUAUUCGCCUGUUUGUGAGUUAACAUACAGUCGCAGGGGACAGAGCCUCAUCCAGCUUCAUACUAGUUAUGGUCAGCUGGAGGGCAGACUGGUCAGAGUGAGAGAGAGAGCCAGAGGAAGAUGGCUGCCUACCUGGGGAUCCCCUGAGCCCCCUUGUCGGGCCGCUGAAGUUCCAGGCCCCCCAGCCUCCCCGGGUGUGGCAGGGACUGAGAGACGCCAAGGCUUACCCCCCUCUGUAUGAGCCUAAGCAGUAAUGUCUCAGAGAGACAGGCAGGGAGACAAACAGCCUAUACUGUUUAAUGGGGAACUCUGAAUCAUGCGUAUUUUGAUUAACAUUCUGCCAUUCAUCUUUGUAUUGAUAGUGUAAGAAAAUGUAACCUUUCUUGUCCUCCUAACACAUAGGUGUCUGCAGAACAUGAACCACACUAGACAGAUGGGUGACCUGUACGGAGGUCGGUUCCCUGUCCUAACCACCUCAGAGGACUCCCUUUACCUGAAUAUCUACACACCAGUCAAACCUGGGGACCCAAGGAAACUACCAGUGAGGAGAGACAUGAGAAUGUACUCAUAUCUACCUUAAGAGUAGACAAACAUGUCUUUGGUUUGGUGGUCCUCAAGGGAGGGGCUUCACUCUGUGAUGGCUCCUCACUGGCUGCCUUUCGGGACGUUGUGGUGGUCAUUUUCCAAUACUGUUUGGGUAUACCAGGGUUCCUCAGGUACACUUCCAUAUGUACUACAUUUGGUCAAUAUGAUCAAUGCACAAAUUCAGGUCAGUAAUAUCUUCUCCUGUUUGGUGUCUACUGAACACAACCCUGGCAUAUCUGAUCUAAUAUCUGUGUGACCAGCACUGGAGAUGGCCAGUACCCCGGAACGUGGGUGUUCUGGACCAGGUGUGUGCCCUGCGCUGGGUGCAUGAGACCAUCAGCAGUUUCAGGGGAGACCUAGGAUCUGUCACCAUUUUUAGAGAGUCUGCUGGUGGUGUUGCUGUCUUUUUUUGCGUGUGUGUACUGUGCAUCUAGGAAAACAGAUAUUUGCUGAUACAGAAAGAUGCACUGGCUAUCUGUAUGUAGGCUUACUUUGGGCACUGAUCCAUGGUUCUGUCUGUCAUCAGAACUGUUCCACAAGGCAAUCAGUCAGAGUGGAGAACCCCUCGUCUCUAUGUUCGUCCAGGUCUCAAGGAUCCCAUACAUUGUUUCAUAUACAAUAUCAGAACUGCUGGUGGCACAGAGAGCAGGCUGUCUCAGUGAUGACUCUGCAGAGCUCAUGACCUGCCUCAGUGCCCUCAGCCCACAGGACAGAGAGGUGGCUACACCUGCACUGGGAUAGGACAGUCAUCCCUACCAACCCGGAGGAAGUCCUUCAGACCAAGAGCUUCUUGGGCUUCCCCAGCAUCCUAGGGAUCAACAACCAUGAGUAUGGCUGGAUGCUCCCAC